AUUGAACGCUGGCGGCAGGCCUAACACAUGCAAGUCGAACGAGUGGCGCACGUGUGAGUAAUGUCUGGGAAACUGCCUGCUGGAGGGGGAUAACUACUGGAACUGGUAGCUAAUACCGCAUACAAUCAGAUGAGGCCAGAUGGGAUUAGCUUGUUGGGGGGGUAACGGCUCACCAAGGCGACGAUCCCUAGCUGGUCUGAGAGGAUGACCAGCCACACUGGAAUUGAGACACGGUCCAGACUCCUACGGGAGGCAGCAGUGGGGAAUAUUGCACAAUGGGCGCAAGCCUGAUGCAGCCAUGCCGCGUGUAUGAAGAAGGCCUUCGGGUUGUAAAGUAGUUUCAGCGGGGAGGCAUUACCCGCAGAAGAAGCACCGGCUAACUCCGUGACAGCAGCCGCGGUAAUAC
rnacentral:rRNA from 1 species